rnacentral:misc_RNA from 1 species
GAAUUAGGACUGCUGGAGAUGAAAAUUAACUAAAAAAAAAUGUUGUUGCCUUCUAUCCCGAGAAUCUCACAGCUGGGUGUAGUAAAUCUCACACCUAGGUGUGGGGUUUGCUAUCCCAAAAAUCAACUGUCCAAACUUGCUAUAAAUGGCUAUUUUCCUCCAUUUUCACACUAGCAUGCUUCAAUUGUUGCUUGACUUACUUUUUCACUAAAAAUUGUCCCGCAUCAUCAUCAAAGACAACAAAAUACUGUCGAAUUUACAUUUGAACAUACAUUUAAGAUUUGUGAAAGCAAUUUGGGAUUUGGAGUAUCUUGUUUGCAAAAGCUUAUCCUAAGAUUUUGUACUUUGUAAUGAUAAAUGGCAUGGGUAAAAACAUAUACUGGUCCUAUGGAUGUACUUUUGGAUUUAUGCUUUGAUGAAGAAUGUUGGUAACUCGAUAAGACUAUAAACAAGGGCUUCACUAGGAAAAGAUGAGCAGUUAAACAGAGUAAACGGCUAUAGCUAAAUUGCAUUUGCUGAAAUGGCACUGUCACUGUGUAACCAUCAAUACACCAGUUAAAUGAUGUUUUGUUUAGCAUUUGGUGGUUUUAUAUGAUUCUAUUAGUUAUUGCACAACAUAGAUUGUUGUGUAUGGGAAACUUAAAAAGUGCCAGAAUUCAAUUCAAUUAAUUUCAUUUUGCACAAUUAUUGAGUUUCAGUUAAGUAACAAACAUAGUUAUUAAAGGCGCUCAAGGCUUACCAGGCUCGAAC